CUACCUGUUACAGGGAGAUAGCCCGGGGAAACCCGGAUUAAUAUCCCAUAGAAUAUAUUAACUGCAUGGUUUAUAUAUUAAAGCCUUCGGGUGGUAACAGACGGGCAUGCGUAGGAUUAGCUAGUUGGAGAGGUAACGGCUCACCAAGGCGACGAUCCUUAGGGGUUCUGAGAGGAAGGUCCCCCACACUGGCACUGAGAUACGGGCCAGACUCCUACGGGAGGCAGCAGUAGGGAAUAUUGGUCAAUGGGCGAGAGCCUGAACCAGCCAUGCCGCGUGCAGGAAGACGGCGUUCUGCGUUGUAAACUGCUUUUAUCUGGGAAGAAAAAGCCCUUGCGAGGGAAAUUGCCGGUACCAGAAGAAUAAGCACCGGCUAACUCCGUGCCAGCAGCCGCGGUAAUACGGAGGGUGCAAGCGUUGUCCGGAUUUAUUGGGUUUAAAGGGUGCGUAGGCGGCUGAUUAAGUCAGCGGUGAAAGUUCUCGGCUCAACCGAGAGACUGCCGUUGAUACUGGUCAGCUUGAGUUAUGGAGGGGUACAUGGAAUUUAUGGUGUAGCGGUGAAAUGCAUAGAUACCAUAAGGAACACCGAUAGCGAAGGCAUUGUACUGGCCAUAAACUGACGCUGAGGCACGAAAGCGUGCGUAGCGAACAGGAUUAGAUACCCUGGUAGUCCACGCCGUAAACGAUGAUCACUCGCUUUA
rnacentral:rRNA from 1 species